rnacentral:rRNA from 1 species
AGCGAACGCUGGCGGCAGGCUUAACACAUGCAAGUCGAGCGGGCAUCUUCGGAUGUCAGCGGCAGACGGGUGAGUAACACGUGGGAACGUACCCUUCGGUUCGGAAUAACGCUGGGAAACUAGCGCUAAUACCGGAUACGCCCUUUUGGGGAAAGGUUUACUGCCGAAGGAUCGGCCCGCGUCUGAUUAGCUAGUUGGUGGGGUAACGGCCUACCAAGGCGACGAUCAGUAGCUGGUCUGAGAGGAUGAUCAGCCACACUGGGACUGAGACACGGCCCAGACUCCUACGGGAGGCAGCAGUGGGGAAUAUUGGACAAUGGGCGCAAGCCUGAUCCAGCCAUGCCGCGUGAGUGAUGAAGGCCUUAGGGUUGUAAAGCUCUUUGUCCGGGACGAUAAUGACGCUACC